UACGUAGGGGGCUAGCGUUGUCCGGAAUUAUUGGGCGUAAAGAGCUCGUAGGCGGUCUGUUGCGUCCGCUGUGAAAACUCGGGGCUUAACCCCGAGCCUGCAGUGGAUACGGGCAGACUAGAGGUAGGUAGGGGAGAAUGGAAUUCCCGGUGUAGCGGUGAAAUGCGCAGAUAUCGGGAGGAACACCGGUGGCGAAGGCGGUUCUCUGGGCCUUACCUGACGCUGAGGAGCGAAAGCGUGGGGAGCGAACAGGAUUAG
rnacentral:rRNA from 1 species